GUGGGUUAACUGCCUUGUUCAGGGGCAUGACGGCAGGUUUUUACCUUGUCAGCUCGGGGAUUCAAUCUUGCGGUUACUAGUCCAACACUCUAACCACUAGGCUACCUACCGUCCCAGAAUCCAGUGAAAAAGAUUCCAGACAAUUAUGAGAUCACUCUGCAGCAUGGCUCCAAAACAGCUUCUUCUUUUGACUUUAUAUGGUGGUUGGCAACCAACUUUAAGGUGCAUUACCAUCACCAACUGGACUGGAGUGUGGACCUCAUAUCAUCUUUCAAUCACCCACGUGGGUAUAUGCUCAAAAAAAACAAUGAGGAGAUGGGAGAGGCGGGACUUACAGCGUCACAAAUAGAAACAAGUUCUAUUUUAGCGCCUGGCUACGCAGAUGCUCGUGAGCAGUGUGGGUGUAAUGAUUGAAUAACAUGUAUGUGUACAUUUAUUUUCACGAGGGCGGUGUGGUCAUCAUGUAAGUCGCUCUGGAUAAGAGUGUCUGCUAAAUGACUCAAAUGUAAAUGUGUUGAAGGUACCGAACUGUUUGUUCAAGUUGGCACACAGUUUGGACACUCAUCGGUACAACACAAGACAUGCAACCAGAGGUCUCUUCACAAUCCCCAGGUCCAGAACAGAGACUGGGAAACUGACUACAAGUACCUCAAGCUAGCAGUAAAAACAAUGAUAAAAAAACAGAUAAAAGAACACCUUACUGCACAAAGGGGACAGUGAAGAGAGACAGACAUUUUAUGGCUUGUAUUGUAAUUUGCAUUGUACUAUGUAUUCACCUAGAUAUAUUGUGUAUGUACUGAUAUGUAGGCUAUGUAUUUCAGUCCUUGUUCUGUACUAUGCAUUAUGUCAUGUUCCAUGUGGAUCCCAGGAAGAGGAGCUGAUACUUUGCAGAGGCUAAUGGGGAUCCUAAUAAAUACCAAAAACUGAGAAGGGAAGAUCAAAAUCCAUCAGAUGCCCCCUAUCUGUGGCCACUAAAGCAAGCUUUUGGGGUCUAGGCCUAGCUUUGUAUCAGUGAUGACUCCUGCACUGUGCUCUCUCGGGGUAGUACUGCAGCUGCAGGUUAGUUUGUGUAUGGGGGUAAUGAUGUAUACUGUACUUACAGCUGGGAGAGGGUGAGAACAAUCACAACUAGUUCAUCCCGCUGUGACUGACCACUGACCAGGGUUGCGUUCAUUCAAUAUGUCUAGGGUGAACUGUUUUGCUGCUUAAAAGGCCAUUAUUGACUG
ensembl:lncRNA